rnacentral:lncRNA from 1 species
CCUGCUGAACACAAAUGGAUGAUGCAAGUACAGAGUCUUUUGCUUCGCAUAUUUCUGUCAUAUUUUCACAACUUCAUGAUACAGUCUAAUACUGAGCAUUGAUAAAGCAACACAAUAAGACCACACAAAGAUUUUGUAUGGAGAUGAAUAUGGUAUAAGGAAAAAAAUAAAAUUAGAAUUUAAACCAUUCAGGUAUCCUCAUUUCCAG